rnacentral:rRNA from 1 species
GAUGAACGCUGGCGGCGUGCCUAAUACAUGCAAGUCGAGCGAACAGACGAGGAGCUUGCUCCUCUGACGUUAGCGGCGGACGGGUGAGUAACACGUGGAUAACCUACCUAUAAGACUGGGAUAACUUCGGGAAACCGGAGCUAAUACCGGAUAAUAUAUUGAACCGCAUGGUUCAAUAGUGAAAGACGGUUUUGCUGUCACUUAUAGAUGGAUCCGCGCCGCAUUAGCUAGUUGGUAAGGUAACGGCGUACCAAGGGAACAAUGCGUAGCCGACCUGAGAGGGUGAUCGGCCACACCGAAACUGAGACACGGUCCAGACUCCUACGGGAGGCAGCAGUAGGGAAUCUUCCGCAAUGGGCGAAAGCCUGACGGAGCAGCGCCGCGUGAGUGAUGAAGGUCUUCGGAUCGUAAAACUCUGUUAUUAGGGAAGAACAAAUGUGUAAGUAACUAUGCACGUCUUGACGGUACCUAAUCAGAAAGCCACGGCUAACUACGUGCCAGCCGCCGCAGUAA